CCUACGGGAGGCAGCAGUGGGGAAUAUUGGACAGUGGGCGCAAGCCUGAUCCAGCAAUGCCGCGUGUGUGAAGAAGGCCUUCGGGUUGUAAAGCACUUUAGGCAGGGAAGAAAAAAUCGGCGAUAACAUCGCCGAUCUUGACGGUACCUGAGGAAUAAGCACCGGCUAACUCUGUGCCAGCAGCCGCGGUAAUACAGAGGGUGCAAGCGUUAAUCGGAUUUACUGGGCGUAAAGCGUGUGUAGGUGGUUAGAAAAGUCGAUUGUGAAAUCCCUGGGCUCAACCCGGGAACUGCUUUCGAGACUGUUUGACUAGAAUUCGGUAGAGGGAGGCGGAACUCCAGGUGUAGCGGUGAAAUGCGUAGAUAUCUGGAAGAACACCAAUGGCGAAGGCAACCUCCUGGGCCUGAAUUGACACUGAGACACGAAAGCGUGGGGAUCAAACAGGAUUAGAUACCCUGGUAGUCCACGCCGUAAACGAUGAGAACUUGACGUCGGUUUGCUCUGCGAAUCGGUGUCGUAGCUAACGCGAUAAGUUCUCCGCCUGGGGAGUCGGCCGCAAGGUUGAAACUCAAAGAGUAGUGGCGCGNGAGAGCGACGACGACGACGACGGAGGGAGG
rnacentral:rRNA from 1 species